GUGCAGCUAGUUCAGCCGACUUGCCCACCUCCCUGACAGGUGCCCAGUGUACAGUGCCUGCCAAAAGCAGAUUGCCUGGUUGUGCAUGCAGUUCAUUCCUUGGAUCUGGUGCUCUAAGAGAUCUUGGAGACAUCG
rnacentral:snoRNA from 1 species